AUUGAACGCUGGCGGAAUGCUUUACACAUGCAAGUCGAACGGUAGAGGGGGCAACCCCUCGAGAGUGGCGAACGGGUGAGUAAUAUAUCGGAACGUGCCCAGUCGUGGGGGAUAACGAAGCGAAAGUUACGCUAAUACCGCAUACGAUCUACGGAUGAAAGCGGGGGAUCGCAAGACCUCGCGCGAUUGGAGCGGCCGAUAUCAGAUUAGGUAGUUGGUGGGGUAAAGGCUCACCAAGCCAACGAUCUGUAGCUGGUCUGAGAGGACGACCAGCCACACUGGAACUGAGACACGGUCCAGACUCCUACGGGAGGCAGCAGUGGGGAAUUUUGGACAAUGGACGCAAGUCUGAUCCAGCCAUUCCGCGUGCAGGAUGAAGGCCCUCGGGUUGUAAACUGCUUUUGUACGGAAUGAAAAGGUUUCCAUUAAUACUGGGAGCUCAUGACGGUACCGUAAGAAUAAGCACCGGCUAACUACGUGCCAGCCGCCGCAGUAA
rnacentral:rRNA from 1 species